rnacentral:antisense_RNA from 1 species
CAUAGCCAAAGAUUUUAACCGGGUUGAGGGUGGGGUUAGUGAUGAUUCUGACAUCACCACCACCAGGAGCCCAGGUAUCAUAAAGACCACCAACGAACAUAGCCUUGAUUACUAGCAAGAGCGCACCACAACCAAGCAGGAUCAGGUGGAAACCGAUGAUCGAAGUCAUCUUAUCCUUGUCCUUCCA